rnacentral:rRNA from 1 species
UACGUAGGGGGCAAGCGUUGUCCGGAUUUAUUGGGCGUAAAGAGCGUGUAGGCGGCCUGAAAGGUCAGCUGUGAAAACUCGAGGCUCAACCCUCGAGACGUCGGCGGAAACCAUCUGGCUAGAGUCCGGAAGAGGAGAGUGGAAUUCCACGUGUAGCGGUGAAAUGCGUAGAGAUGUGGAGGAACACCAGUGGCGAAGGCGACUCUUUGGCCUGUAACUGACGCUGAGGCGCGAAAGGCGUGGGGGAGCAAACAGG